rnacentral:rRNA from 1 species
UACAGAGGAGCCAAGCGUUGUCCGGAUUGACUGGGCGUAAAGCGCACGCAGGCGGGUGCGCGCGUGGGGGGUGAAAUCUGGCCGCUUAACGGCCAGGCGCCAUCCCAUACGGCGCGCCUGGAGGGCUGCAGAGGUCGAUGGAAUUGCCGGUGUAGUGGUGAAAUGCGUAGAGAUCGGCAGGAACACCCAGGGGGAAACCAGUCGACUGGGCAGCACCUGACGCUGAGGUGCGAGAGCGUGGGGAGCGAACAGG